GUGCCAGCCGCCGCGGUAAUACGUAGGGUGCGAGCGUUGUCCGGAAUUAUUGGGCGUAAAGAGCUCGUAGGCGGUCUGUCGCGUCGAAUGUGAAAACCCGGGGCUCAACUCCGGGCUUGCAUUCGAUACGGGCAGGCUAGAGUUCGGUAGGGGAGUCUGGAAUUCCUGGUGUAGCGGUGAAAUGCGCAGAUAUCAGGAGGAACACCGGUGGCGAAGGCGGGACUCUGGGCCGAUACUGACGCUGAGGAGCGAAAGCGUGGGGAGCGAACAGGAUUAGAUACCCUGGUAGUCC
rnacentral:rRNA from 1 species